CNAUUUCANUGGGCGAAAGCCUGAUGGAGCGACNCCGCGUGGGGGAUGAAUGGCUUCGGCCCNCUAAACCCCUGUCAUUCGCGAACAAUGCCUGCGGCCUAAUACACCGCAGGUUGAUAGUAGCGGAAGAGGAAGGGACGGCUAACUCUGUGCCAGCAGCCGCGGUAAUACAGAGGUCCCAAGCGUUGUUCGGAUUCACUGGGCGUAAAGGGUGCGUAGGUGGUCGGGUAAGUCUGAUGUGAAAUCUCCGAGCUCAACUCGGAAACGGCAUUGGAAACUCCCCGGCUUGAGGGUUGGAGGGGGGACUGGAAUUCUCGGUGUAGCAGUGAAAUGCGUAGAUAUCGAGAGGAACACCAGUGGCGAAGGCGAGUCCCUGGACAACCCCUGACACUGAGGCACGAAAGCUAGGGGAGCAAACAGGAUUAGAUACCCUGGUAGUCCUAGCCGUAAACGGUGCACGUUUGCUGUAAAAGGAAUCGACCCCUUUUGUGGCGUAGCCAACGCGUUAAACGUGCCGCCUGGGAAGUACGGUCGCAAGAUUAAAACUCAAAGAAAUUGACGGA
rnacentral:rRNA from 1 species